rnacentral:rRNA from 1 species
GGAAGUAAGACCCCUUGAAGAGUACAAGGUAGAUAGGGCAGAGGUGGAAGUGCAGUAAUGCAUGGAGCUGACUGUUACUAAUCGGUCGAGGGCUUGACCUA